rnacentral:rRNA from 1 species
AUUGAACGCUGGCGGCAGGCCUAACACAUGCAAGUCGAGCGGAUGAAGGGAGCUUGCUCCUGGAUUCAGCGGCGGACGGGUGAGUAAUGCCUAGGAAUCUGCCUGGUAGUGGGGGAGAACGUCCGGAAACGGGCGCUAAUACCGCAUACGUCCUGAGGGAGAAAGUGGGGGAUCUUCGGACCUCACGCUAUCAGAUGAGCCUAGGUCGGAUUAGCUAGUUGGUGGGGUAAAGGCCUACCAAGGCGACGAUCCGUAACUGGUCUGAGAGGAUGAUCAGUCACACUGGAACUGAGACACGGUCCAGACUCCUACGGGAGGCAGCAGUGGGGAAUAUUGGACAAUGGGCGAAAGCCUGAUCCAGCCAUGCCGCGUGUGUGAAGAAGGUCUUCGGAUUGUAAAGCACUUUAAGUUGGGAGGAAGGGCAGUAAGUUAAUACCUUGCUGUUUUGACGUUACCAACAGAAUAAGCACCGGCUAACUUCGUG